rnacentral:rRNA from 1 species
AUUGAACGCUGGCGGCAGGCCUAACACAUGCAAGUCGAGCGGAUGAGGGGAGCUUGCUCCCUGAUUUAGCGGCGGACGGGUGAGUAAUGCCUAGGAAUCUGCCUGGUAGUGGGGGAUAACGUUCCGAAAGGAACGCUAAUACCGCAUACGUCCUACGGGAGAAAGCAGGGGACCUUCGGGCCUUGCGCUAUCAGAUGAGCCUAGGUCGGAUUAGCUAGUUGGUGAGGUAAUGGCUCACCAAGGCGACGAUCCGUAACUGGUCUGAGAGGAUGAUCAGUCACACUGGAACUGAGACACGGUCCAGACUCCUACGGGAGGCAGCAGUGGGGAAUAUUGGACAAUGGGCGAAAGCCUGAUCCAGCCAUGCCGCGUGUGUGAAGAAGGUCUUCGGAUUGUAAAGCACUUUAAGUUGGGAGGAAGGGCUGCUGGUUAAUACCCUGCAGGUUUGACGUUACCAACAGAAUAAGCACCGGCUAACUUCGUG